CCUAGCGGCAGACGGGUGCGUAACAUGUGGGAAUCUGCCUUUUGGUUCGGAAUAACACGAGGAAACUUGUGCUAAUACCGGAUAAGCCCUUACGGGGAAAGUUUUAAUGCCAAAAGAUGAGCCCGCACUUGAUUAGCUAGUUGGUGAGGUAAUGGCUCAACAAGACUACAAUCAAUAGCUGAUUUGAGAGGAUGAUCAGCCACACUGGGACUGAGAUACGGCCCAGACUCC
rnacentral:rRNA from 1 species